GUGAGGAAUAUUGCGCAAUGGAGGCAACUCUGACGCAGCCAUGCCGCGUGCAGGAAGAAGGCGCUACGCGUUGUAAACUGCUUUUAACCGGGAAGAAACCCCAGGACGUGUCCUGGGUUGACGGUACCGGAGGAAUAAGCACCGGCUAACUUCGUGCCAGCAGCCGCGGUAAUACGAAGGGUGCAAGCGUGAUCCGGAUUCAUUGGGUUUAAAGGGUGCGUAGGCGGAGCGUUAAGUCAGUGGUGAAAUCCUGCAGCUUAACUGUAGACUUGCCAUUGAUACUGGCGCUCUUGAGUGCGCUUGAAGUGGGCGGAAUGUGCCGUGUAGCGGUGAAAUGCUUAGAUAUGGCACAGAACACCAAUUGCGAAGGCAGCUCACUAAGGCGAUACUGACGCUGAGGCACGAAAGCGUGGGGAUCGAACAGGAUUAGAUACCCCUGUAGUCC
rnacentral:rRNA from 1 species